ACGAAUUUUUUAUCUUGCUUUGCACGAAUUCACAAAACUAGUUAGAACAAUUGAGAGGAAAGGAUAACAAGUUAUUCUGAGAGUUAGGGCCAUUGAUCAUAGGGAGGUUUACAUACCAUUGAAGUUCUGCAGUGGUCUAUCUCUUCAACUGGGGUUUAUCUCUAAUUCUUUCAAGUGAAGUUACAAAUUUUUAUCAAGUUUAAUGUAGAUUAGUAUCAUGGGAAACAGUGGAAUUGAGAAGGGGUGCUCUCAAUUCUACGGCGGUGGUUUUCAUGUAAAAGGAGUAACCAGAAUGUGACACUGUCGACUUUUGAAAAGUUACCACUCAAAGGGGAUGCCUAGGAAAAGGAGAAACAUUAAUAUGGGCAUGGAAGAGAUACAAAGAAGUUGAUCAGUCAAUGAUAGAGAUACAUGCAAAAAGUGUCACUAAUGGUCUCAUCAUUAUGCUAGGGAAAGUAGAGAUGUGUCGUUUUCUGCGGUGUAAUGGAAGCAUUGUUAGGCACUACACAAGCGGUAUCAUCAAUGUCGAAGAGCCAGUGAAAAGCUUGAAAAGGUGGGUCUCAUGCAGGCUGGACGAGGACGACCCAUCACCACUCAAAAAUCUGUCGAAUUUGACUGCUUUUGUGGUUGGGAACAGAUCAUAGACAUUGACAUAGCUCUUGUUCAUCCACAGCCAGAAUUGCUAGAUGCAGUUCGCGGUGCAAGGACCGAAGAAACCACUACCAUGAAGGUAGUUAUACCAUAUCACCUGCAGUUUGGUUCACACGGUUUGAAAACUACAUUUUGGUUUUCAGUUAAAAAAAGUUCGGUUUGGUUAAAUAACACAGAACUGGUACAUCAGACCUUUAUACUGGUUUGAAUUUACCUGAUGACACAGGCCCUUGUCAAAGUGUUGUGAAUAUUGGUUAGUUUUUCAAUCACCGGUUGGCAACUUUGAUAAUUAGGCUCUGUUUGGAUAAAAAAAACUUAAUUAAAGUGCUUAUAGUAAGUGUUGUGUAUAUGUAACAAAGAUAAAAUAAAGUCAGUUUUUUUCCAUUAAUAUAAGCUAUAUGUUGUAUUCUUAAGUUAUCCUAGAGAGUUAAUAUAUAUAAAAUGAAUAUAACUCGGACCGUUUUGAUAAACUUUCUCAAGCAGUCUUACAAGUGUUAAGUAAAUAUGCUCAAAUACGUCAACCCAUUCAGGCUCUUAGAGAAAUAAGGCAUAGUCUAUAACUAAGAU
rnacentral:lncRNA from 1 species